CUAAAAGAAAACCCAGGAGGAGAACGGUGGCUAGGCUUUUUUAGAUAAAGAGGAAACUGGCGGCAGAAGGAAGGGGAAGAGAAGAAAAGAGGAAAGGGAAAGAAAGAGGGAGCUGCUGUCGGAAAGGCUUAGUCCAACAAGGGCGACGACGCCGGGGAUUGAGUGAUGGAGAAAGGGGUUGGCUGCUGCCAGUGGAAGAAGAAGAGAGAAAAAAUGACGAAAAGAGAAAGUGUUGGCAAUUAGGGUUAGGUUAAAAUUAAAAUCAUUUAUGAAGGAUAAAAAAAAAAAAAGAAGUGGGUUGGAUUCAUCCAAGUCCAACCCAGGUUUAGUUAAUUUAUUUUUUUAUAUAUGAAUUAAAUUUAUAAAAAUAG
rnacentral:lncRNA from 1 species